GUAGCUAGACCAUUUGGUCUGGCAGCAUAUAACAGAAAAGUACCACCGCUCCACAACGCAUAUAGGAAUCUUCAUGAAGAUUCUUCAUGUUUUGUUCUCCACCAGUCGCUUACCGGUGUCUGCAACUGUAAGUAACGAUUUGCUUUAUUUUUCUCCAGGCUGCAUCAUUUAUUACUUCUUUUAAUAACUUCCUGUCGCCAUUUCACCUUAUGGAUCGUUUUGAUUUCUAGUUUCAGAAAGAAAACAAAAGCUGGUUCCCCAAAAUGAAUGAGGAUGUUGGUCGAUAGCUCACCAGCUAGUUCUUAGUUCUCUAAUGCGGCAAUUUG
rnacentral:lncRNA from 1 species